UAGGGAAUCUUCGGCAAUGGACGGAAGUCUGACCGAGCAACGCCGCGUGAGUGAAGAAGGUUUUCGGAUCGUAAAGCUCUGUUGUUAGAGAAGAACGUUGGUAGGAGUGGAAAAUCUACCAAGUGACGGUAACUAACCAGAAAGGGACGGCUAACUACGUGCCAGCAGCCGCGGUAAUACGUAGGUCCCGAGCUUUGUCCGGAUUUAUUUGGCGUAAAGCUAGCGCAGGCGGUUCUUUAAGUCUGAAGUUAAAGGCAGUCGCUUACCCAUUUUACGCUUUGGAAACUCUCGGACUUUCUUGCAGCAGGUGAGAGUGCAAUUCCCUGUGUAGCGGUCCGAUUCGUCGAUCUAUGGGUGACCACCGGUGGCUAGAGCGGUUCUCUGGUCUGUAACUGACGCUGAGGCUCGAAAGCGUGGGGAGCAAACAGG
rnacentral:rRNA from 1 species